rnacentral:tRNA from 1 species
GCCGAGGUAGCUCAGUCGGUAGAGCGGAGGACUGAAAAUCCUUGUGUCGGCGGUUCAAGUCCGCCUCUCGGCACCA